GGAAAAGGCAUGUUGGAUAGAUGGUUGUGAAUCCUUCUGCAAUGGUGAGAUCCACUGCAGAAAAUGUUGAUGUUGGUAUGAAAAAAAUGAGAAAGUGACUAGAAAGUUUGUGGAUGUUGGUGCAGGAAAAAAGCAUGUUGAUAGUGUUUUAGUGGUGGAUGAGGGUGAUAAGAGUCAUGGUGUACUAGUUCCCAGUCAUGUGUCUGUUUCUGCCUAUCCUUUUGUAGUUGCUGGUGAGACUGUUAUAAUUAAGCCUCCCUAUGGAUCACAUUUGGUGUUUCUUAGUACUCAGUUUCCUGAUCCGUUUAAGCUUCCAGAAGGAGCUAUUAAUUAUUUAGAAAGAGUAACAAUGGAUCAACAGUUUGGAGGGGCAGAUUUUCGUUUUUAUUGUCUGUUGUUUUUAAAUAUGCUGAUAUUUCACCAACAGAAAUGGCUCUUAAUUUGGACACUAAACAUGGUAGACCUGGUACUGAUGUAGGUUGGUUCUGUGUAUUUUGGGCUGAGCAAGAUUUUGUGUCAGAGUUUUGAAAUCAGAUAUUGGUUUAUUUUCCUUUGUGGUUUUGCAGUUGUACAAAUACCUAAUAGUGUAAUAGCUGCAGGUUCUUAACCUUUUGUCUCAGCGCAGGCGGAGUUGAUUGCUCUUACACAAGCUUGUAUUG